rfam:Pan troglodytes isolate Yerkes chimp pedigree #C0471 (Clint) chromosome 1, whole genome shotgun sequence.
GCCAGGCAUGGUGGUGUGUGCCUGUAGUCCCAGCUACUUGGGAGGCUGAGAGAGGAGGAUCACUUGAGCCCAGGAGUUCAAGGCUGCAGUGAGCUCUGAUCGAUCAUGCCACUGCACUCCAGCCUGGGGGACAGAGUGAGACCCUGUCUCCA